CGUCCUACGGGAGGCAGCAGUGAGGAAUAUUGGUCAAUGGACGCAAGUCUGAACCAGCCAUGCCGCGUGCAGGAUGACGGCUCUAUGAGUUGUAAACUGCUUUUGUACGAGGGUAAACCCCGAUACGUGUAUCGGGUUGAAAGUAUCGUACGACUAAGGAUCGGCUAACUCCGUGCCAGCAGCCGCGGUAAUACGGAGGCUCCGAGCGUUAUCCGGAUUUAUUGGGUUUACAGGGUGCGUAGGCGGUUUGAUAAGUUAGAGUU
rnacentral:rRNA from 1 species